UUCGAUUUGCGUGGGGAACCAAGAUGGCCGGCGUUGCUGCUGGUGACAGGCAGGGAGUGAUUGAACCAGCGCAGCUCAGAGAGGGCAGCCCAGCAGAAGAACCGCUCUCGUGUUUCCAACUGGAAGAGAUUACCAGCGGCGGUGAGUCAGAGGUGUGUGAAGAUCAGGACCAGUCCUGAGUGCAGGUAAUCGGCGAGCGACAGACACCCUCGUCGGGUGCCUUAGGAAGGAAACAAACAAAAAAAAAAAAAAGCGAAGAGGUGAAGGUGUGGAACUUCGACAUCAUCCUAAUGGGUUCCUCCGUUUCGUGGCACCGAUGAACCGUGACUCGUGAUCCGAGUGUGCCACCACGUCCAAGUAUUAUUAGUUCUUGUUUUUUUUUUGUUGUUUGUUGUUUGCGUUCGGUGCACCACGGGUUUGUUUUCGUCCUGAUUUCGGUGUGGAGUUAGCGGAAGUCGGUGCGCAAGAUGUCCGGUGAGCGUGAGAUACCGGCCGAGGACAGUAUUAAGGUGGUCUGUAGGUUCAGGCCCCUGAACGACAGCGAGGAACGGGCUGGAUCCAAGUUCAUCGUCAAGUUUCCUUCUGGAACCGACGACAAUUGCAUUUCCAUUGCGGGUAAAGUGUAUUUAUUCGAUAAAGUAUUCAAGCCCAAUGCGACUCAGGAGAAGGUUUACAAUGAAGCCGCCAAAAGUAUCGUCUCAGAUGUGUUGGCCGGGUACAAUGGUACAAUUUUUGCAUAUGGCCAAACGAGUUCUGGUAAAACGCACACGAUGGAAGGUGUGCUAGGAGAUCCCGCCAAGCAGGGUAUCAUCCCCCGCAUCGUUAACGACAUCUUCAACCAUAUCUACGCGAUGGAGGAGAACCUCGAGUUCCAUAUCAAGGUCUCCUACUUCGAAAUCUACAUGGAUAAAAUCCGAGAUCUGCUCGAUGUGAAAAAGGUUAAUUUGAGCGUGCACGAGGAUAAGAACCGCGUACCUUUCGUGAAAGGCGCGACGGAGCGUUUCGUUUCCAGCCCAGAAGAAGUGUUCGAAGCCAUCGAAGAGGGCAAGUCGAACCGUCACAUUGCUGUUACAAACAUGAACGAACACUCGUCUCGUUCUCAUUCCGUGUUCCUAAUUAACGUGAAGCAAGAGAAUCUGGAGAACCAGAAGAAACUUUCUGGUAAACUUUAUCUUGUCGAUUUGGCUGGUUCUGAGAAGGUUUCUAAGACUGGUGCAGAGGGUACCGUGCUGGAUGAGGCAAAGAAUAUUAAUAAAUCUCUAUCCGCGUUGGGCAACGUUAUCAGCGCUUUGGCCGACGGAAACAAAACCCAUAUUCCGUACAGAGAUUCCAAGUUGACGCGUAUCCUCCAGGAGUCUCUGGGAGGUAACGCGAGAACCACCAUCGUCAUUUGCUGCUCGCCGGCGAGCUUCAAUGAGUCCGAGACUAAGUCCACUUUGGAGUUCGGUAAGAGGGCUAAGACGGUGAAGAACGUGGUCUGCGUCAACGAGGAAUUGACGGCGGAAGAAUGGAAGAGGCGUUAUGAGCGUGAAAAGGAGAAGGUCGGUAGGUUGAAGGGCAAAGUUGAGAAGUUGGAAGAGGAAUUGGCCCGCUGGAGAUCUGGAGAGAGCGUCAACCUAGAUGAACAAGUUAACUUCAAUGCCGAGGCCGAGGCGAGCACUCCUAGUGCUGUUAUGGAGGAAUCCACUACCGGACCAGUUGAGGUUGGACCAAUGCCAGCAACACCAGCAUUAAUGAUUGGAUCCACCUUGGGAUCAGAGGAUCGCCAGAAACUGGAACAAGAGCGCGAACGCCUCUACAAGCAGUUAGAUGAAAAGGACGAGGAAAUCAACCAGCACAGUCAGUACGUCGAGAAAUUGAAGGAGCAAAUGCUCGAACAAGACGAACUGAUAGCGUCUACUCGUCGCGACUAUGAGGCUCUGCAAGCGGAGAUGAAUCGCAUCCAGCAGGAGAACGAGAGCGCGAAGGAAGAAGUCAAGGAAGUCUUGCAAGCUCUCGAGGAGUUGGCCGUGAACUACGACCAGAAGUCUCAAGAAGUCGACGCCAAGAACAAGGAAGUCGAAAGCAUUUCUGAGGAAUUGAUGCAGAAGCAGGUAUCUCUGAAUACAACUGCCUCGGAAUUGCAGCAGUUGCGCGACAUGAGUUCCCAUCAAAAGAAACGCAUCGCCGAGAUGCUGAGCAAUCUUCUGAAGGAAUUAGGCGAUGUCGGAACUGCUUUGUGCGGUGAGAGGUCAGAUUUGAGCAUCACGAAUGAUUCAGCUAAAUUGGAGGAGGAGUUCACCGUUGCUAGACUGUACAUCUCUAGAAUGAAAUCCGACGUUACCAAUAUUACGACGCGAUUACAUGAGCUCGAGAACUCGCAGCAGGACAGUAACAAGAAGGUUACCGAGUACGAGAAGGAGUUGGGUGAGUGCAGGCUCCUAAUUUCCCAACACGAAGCUCGCAUGAAGAGUUUGCAGGAAAGUAUGAGAGAGUCUGAAAAUAAGAAGAGGGCUUUGGAAGAAGAUAUAGAUGCGUUACGAGAGGAAUGCGCAAAACUUAAAGCAGCUGAACAGGUUUCAAGCGUUAGUGAGAGUGAAAAGAAGGAAGCUACCCAGUUACGUUUGGCUUUGGAGCAACAGAUGGAUCACCUUCGCGAUGCCCAUCAAAAGCAAGUUGCAACGUUGAGAGAUGAGAUCUCCGAGAAACAGCAGCUCAUCAGCGACGUCAAAGACUUGAACCAAAAGUUGACGUUGGCACAGCAGCAGUUGCAAGCGGAUUACGAGAAACUUAAGCAAGAGGAAUCACAGAAGUCCAACAAACUGCAGGAAUUAAUCACCAGUAAUGAUAGACGCGAACAGGCCAAGAAGGAUCUUAAAGGACUUGAGGAUACCGUCGCUAAGGAGCUGCAGACUCUGCACAAUCUCCGCAAACUUUUCGUUCAAGACUUGCAGACACGCAUCAAGAAGGCUGUGACCGCUGAGGAUAACGAAGAAGAUGGUGGUUCUUUGGCACAGAAGCAGAAGAUCAGCUUCCUCGAAAAUAAUUUGGAUCAGUUGACGAAGGUGCACAAGCAGCUGGUGAGGGAUAACGCGGAUCUGCGUUGCGAAUUGCCCAAGUUAGAAAAACGUCUGAGGGCAACGAUGGAUAGAGUCAAGGCUUUGGAGACUGCCCUCAAGGAAGCCAAGGAAGGAGCUAUGCGCGAUCGCAAGAGAUAUCAAUUCGAGGUUGAUAGAAUUAAAGAAGCUGUGCGGCUAAAGAAUUUGGCGCGUCGUGGUCCAGUGCCCCAAAUUGCUAAACCCAUCAGGGCUGGACAACAGCACCAUCCAAUGAUCACCGGAGGCGUAGGCACCAACAUGAUGCACGGUGCUUACAUGCAAAGAUCCGAUGAGAACCGGAAAUCCGUCAUCUCAGGUGGUAAAGGAGAUGCAAGUUGAAGUAAUUGUAAAUAUAAAUUUGUUGUUGGGGAUUCGCCUUAAAUGUUAUUGCUAAUACGGACGAAAGUUGAAGAGCUAACGCCCCAUAGACGAUGGUGCCGCAGUCCCAGUUUCUAAUUAAUUAAUUAUAAGCUACAACUAAACUUAAAUUUACAUCAAGAAGAACAACAGCAACAACAACAAAAUAAGAUUCACAAACACCAACAAUUCUCUAUAAUAAUUAUUAUAAUACGCUAAAUCUAUGUUUACGGAAGUUUUACCAGCAAGAUAAAAAAAAAAUUGUCUAUAUUCUAUAUAUAGUGUGCUUGUAAGG